rnacentral:rRNA from 1 species
GAUGAACGCUGGCGGCGUGCCUAAUACAUGCAAGUCGAGCGAACGGACGAGAAGCUUGCUUCUCUGAUGUUAGCGGCGGACGGGUGAGUAACACGUGGAUAACCUACCUAUAAGACUGGGAUAACUUCGGGAAACCGGAGCUAAUACCGGAUAAUAUUUUGAACCGCAUGGUUUAAAAGUGAAAGACGGUCUUGCUGUCACUUAUAGAUGGAUCCGCGCUGCAUUAGCUAGUUGGUAAGGUAACGGCUUACCAAGGCAACGAUGCAUAGCCGACCUGAGAGGGUGAUCGGCCACACUGGAACUGAGACACGGUCCAGACUCCUACGGGAGGCAGCAGUAGGGAAUCUUCCGCAAUGGGCGAAAGCCUGACGGAGCAACGCCGCGUGAGUGAUGAAGGUCUUCGGAUCGUAAAACUCUGUUAUUAGGGAAGAACAUAUGUGUAAGUAACUGUGCACAUCUUGACGGUACCUAAUCAGAAAGCCACGGCUAACUACGUGCCAGCAGCCGCGGUAAUACGUAGGUGGCAAGCGUUAUCCGGAAUUAUUGGGCGUAAAGCGCGCGUAGGCGGUUUUUUAAGUCUGAUGUGAAAGCCCACGGCUCAACCGUGGAGGGUCAUUGGAAACUGGAAAACUUGAGUGCAGAAGAGGAAAGUGGAAUUCCAUGUGUAGCGGUGAAAUGCGCAGAGAUAUGGAGGAACACCAGUGGCGAAGGCGACUUUCUGGUCUGUAACUGACGCUGAUGUGCGAAAGCGUGGGGAUCAAACAGGAUUAGAUACCCUGGUAGUCCACGCCGUAAACGAUGAGUGCUAAGUGUUAGGGGGUUUCCGCCCCUUAGUGCUGCAGCUAACGCAUUAAGCACUCCGCCUGGGGAGUACGACCGCAAGGUUGAAACUCAAAGGAAUUGACGGGGACCCGCACAAGCGGUGGAGCAUGUGGUUUAAUUCGAAGCAACGCGAAGAACCUUACCAAAUCUUGACAUCCUUUGACAACUCUAGAGAUAGAGCUUUCCCCUUCGGGGGACAAAGUGACAGGUGGUGCAUGGUUGUCGUCAGCUCGUGUCGUGAGAUGUUGGGUUAAGUCCCGCAACGAGCGCAACCCUUAAGCUUAGUUGCCAUCAUUAAGUUGGGCACUCUAAGUUGACUGCCGGUGACAAACCGGAGGAAGGUGGGGAUGACGUCAAAUCAUCAUGCCCCUUAUGAUUUGGGCUACACACGUGCUACAAUGGACAAUACAAAGGGCAGCGAAACCGCGAGGUCAAGCAAAUCCCAUAAAGUUGUUCUCAGUUCGGAUUGUAGUCUGCAACUCGACUACAUGAAGCUGGAAUCGCUAGUAAUCGUAGAUCAGCAUGCUACGGUGAAUACGUUCCCGGGUCU